rnacentral:rRNA from 1 species
GACAGAGGCCCCAAGCGUUAGGCGGAAUCACUGGGCUUAAAGCGUGUGUAGGCGGCUCGUUAAGUGUCUUGUGAAAUCCCACGGCUCACCCGUGGAACUGCUGGGCAUACUGGCGAUCUUGGGCCAACUAGGGGCAGUCGGAACAAGCGGUGGAGCGGUGAAAUGCGUAGAUAUCGCUUGGAACGCCGAAGGUGAAAACAGACUGCUGGGGUUGCGCCGACGCUGAGACACGAAAGCCAGGGGAGCAAACGGG